rnacentral:rRNA from 1 species
UACGAAGGGGCUAGCGUUGCUCGGAAUCACUGGGCGUAAAGGGUGCGUAGGCGGGUCUUUAAGUCAGGGUGAAAUCCUGGAGCUCAACUCCAGAACUGCCUUUGAUACUGAAGAUCUUGAGUUCGGGAGAGGUGAGUGGAACUGCGAGUGUAGAGGUGAAAUUCGUAGAUAUUCGCAAGAACACCAGUGGCGAAGGCGGCUCACUGGCCCGAUACUGACGCUGAGGCACGAAAGCGUGGGAGCAACAGG